rnacentral:miRNA from 1 species
GCUCUCUAGACUUCUGUCAUC